UCUCCGCUGGUGAACCAGCGGAGGGAUCAUUACCGAGUUUACAACUCCCAAACCCAAUGUGAACCAUACCAAACUGUUGCCUCGGCGGGGUCACGCCCCGGGUGCGUCGCAGCCCCGGAACCAGGCGCCCGCCGGAGGGACCAACCAAACUCUUUCUGUAGUCCCCUCGCGGACGUUAUUUCUUACAGCUCUGAGCAAAAAUUCAAAAUGAAUCAAAACUUUCAACAACGGAUCUCUUGGUUCUG
rnacentral:misc_RNA from 1 species